GCGUUAUUAUUUCUGUUCGCGCGAAACGUACGAGUAUGAUUAAGGAUAAAUAUGAUUUGAAAGGAAAUUUGGAAAAGAAAAAGCAACAAAGCUUAACAGGAAGAAGGUCAGAGUUGGAGAUGAAGAAACAGACUGAAGCUUCUGCUCAGUAAUAUCCCUUCUGAAUUGGACGUCACCAAAUCAGACGAAUGCAAAGGUAAAUAAAGAUAGAGGUAGUGGUAAAGAUAGAAAGAAAUGGAGGAUAUGGGGAUGGUGAAGAAAGAUGGAGAUGGGCGGUAAGUAUUAAUAUGGAUACGAGAAUGGAGAUGGGACACGCCGGUGGAGAAGGGAACGAGGAUGGGGAUGGAGAGAAGGACGGAGAUCAGGGGGGAAGAUGUUGAUAGAUACGAGUAUGGAGAUGGGAGGUAAGGAUGGAGAUGGGAGGUGAAGAAUGAGAUGGUCAUGGAGAUGGAUGCGAGGAUGAUGAGAGGAGGUGGACAUAACGAUGGAUAUGAAGAUGGAGGUCAGGGGUGAUAAUGUGAAAAGUGAAGAUGGAUAUGAGGAUGGAGACUGGAGGUGAUGGUGGAGAUGGAUAUGAUGAUGGAGACUGGAGGUGAUGGUGGAGGUGGAUAUGAGGAUGGAGACUGGAGGUGAUGGUGGAGGUGGAUAUGAGGAUGGAGACUGGAGGUGAUGGUGGAGGUGGAUAUGAUGAUGGAGACUGGAG
ensembl:lncRNA